CAGCAGUCAAAAGCUCCAUUUUCACAAGCUAGAAAGUAAGAGAGAGAAAAAAUAUCACCAUGUGAAAAUCUCAAACAGAGCAUUGUUCAGUUGCAACCAGUGACACACGCCUGAACACACUACCAAUUUUAAUCUUCCUCUGCUAGUUCGUUGAGCAAUCUUGCUGGAGGUUGUGGUUCAUGAUGGUGAUGUUGCAAUCCGCACUGUCGCCCUUACAUGCAGUUGCUUCAACAACAUUAUGUGCACAGAGAGU